UAGUAUCACAUUAGGAGAAAAUAGUCUGUGGUAUCGUAAGUAUGAAAAGACUUUUCAUUUACUUAACUCCAAAAUUUCAAUUUAUUUUCCCUUUGAUAGUGGAUAGCCCAUUAAACAUGUAGACGAAUAAGAAUGUUGAUACGUAUGUAUCAUGCCAAAUUACUUAGAUUUGGAUUUUUAAGCUUAAAAACCACAUUUCCCUUAUAGGAACAGUCUGUAUCAAUUACUGAAUCAUUAGAAAAUACAAGAGAUGAAAGUGAAGAAAUUCAGUGAAGUGCGGGUAAAUGGAGGGAGUAAGUAUGACUCUCUUAAGGCAGCCAAAUGCCUCGUCAUCUAAUUAGCGACCUGCAUGAAUGGAUGAACAAGAUUCCCACUGUCCCUACCUACUGUCCAGCAAAACCACAGCCAAGAGAACGGGCUUGGGGAAAUCAUCAGGGAAAGAAGACGAUGUUGAGCUUGACUCUAGUCUGGCAUGGUGAGGAGACAUGAGAGGUGUAGAAUAAGUGGGGGGCCCCCACAGAGCCCCUCCAUCCCCAUGAGGGGGCGGGGUGGGGUCUGCCAGCCUUGUGGGCCACAGGUGAAAUACCACGACUCUUAUAAUUUAAAUAAAAAUAAAAAAUCGGGGCCUCUGGGUGGCUCAGCUAUUAAGCGUCUGCCUUCGGCUCAGGUCAUGAUCCCAGGGUCCUGGGGUCAAGCCCUGCAUAGGGCUCCCUGCUCGGUGGGAAGCCUGCUUCUCCCUUUCACGCUCCCAUUGCUUGUGUUCCCUCUCUCGCUGUCUCUCUCUGUCAAAUAAAUAAAUAAAAUCUUAAAUAAAUAAAU
rnacentral:ncRNA from 1 species